AACGAACGCUGGCGGCAUGCCUAACACAUGCAAGUCGAACGAGACCUUCGGGUCUAGUGGCGCACGGGUGCGUAACGCGUGGGAACCUGCCCUUAGGUUCGGAAUAACUCCCCGAAAGGGGUGCUAAUACCGGAUAAUGUCUUCGGACCAAAGAUUUAUCGCCUUUGGAUGGGCCCGCGUUGGAUUAGCUAGUUGGUAGGGUAAAAGCCUACCAAGGCGACGAUCCAUAGCUGGUCUGAGAGGAUGAUCAGCCACACUGGGACUGGGACACGGCCCAGACUCCUACGGGAGGCAGCAGUGGGGAAUAUUGGACAAUGGGCGAAAGCCUGAUCCAGCAAUGACGCGUGAGUGAUGAAGGCCUUAGGGUUGUAAAGCUCUUUUACCCGGGAUGAUAAUGACAGUACCGGGAGAAUAAGCCCCGGCUAACUCCGUG
rnacentral:rRNA from 1 species